CCUGGUGCCUUUAGCGGCGGGGUCACACCUGUUCCCAUCUCGAACACAGCAGUUAAGCCCGCCAGCGCCGAUGGUAGUAGUCCUUAAGUGGCUGCAAGAGUAGGUCGGUGCCAGGA
rnacentral:rRNA from 2 species